GACGAACGCUGGCGGCGUGCUUAACACAUGCAAGUCGAACGGAAAGGCCCUGCUUUUGUGGGGUGCUCGAGUGGCGAACGGGUGAGUAACACGUGAGUAACCUGCCCUUGACUUUAGGAUAACUUCAGGAAACUGGGGCUAAUACCGGAUAGGAGCUCCUGCUGCAUGGUGGGGGUUGGAAAGUUUCGGCGGUUGGGGAUGGACUCGCGGCUUAUCAGCUUGUUGGUGGGGUAGUGGCUUACCAAGGCUUUGACGGGUAGCCGGCCUGAGAGGGUGACCGGCCACAUUGGGACUGAGAUACGGCCCAGACUCCUACGGGAGGCAGCAGUGGGGAAUAUUGCACAAUGGGCGGAAGCCUGAUGCAGCAACGCCGCGUGCGGGAUGACGGCCUUCGGGUUGUAAACCGCUUUCGCCUGUGACGAAGCGUGAGUGACGGUAGUGGGUAAAGAAGCACCGGCUAACUACGUG
rnacentral:rRNA from 1 species